CCUACGGGUGGCAGCAGUGGGGAAUAUUGCACAAUGGGCGAAAGCCUGAUGCAGCAACGCCGCGUGAGCGAUGAAGGCCUUCGGGUCGUAAAGCUCUGUCCUCAGGGAGGAUAAUGACGGUACUUGAGGAGGAAGCCCCGGCUAACUACUUGCCCGCAGCCGCGGUAAUACGUAGGGGGCUAGCUUUAUCCGGAAUUACUGGGCGUAAUGGGGGCGUAGGUGGUUUCUUAAGUCAGAGGUGAAAGGCUACGGCUAAACCGUAGAGAGCCUUUGAUACUGGGAAACUUGAGUGCAGGAGAGGAGAGUGGAAUUCCGAGUGUAGCGGUGAAAUGCGUAGAUAUUAGGAAGAACACCAGUUGCGAAGGCGGCUCUCUGGACUGUAACUGACACUGAGGCACGAAAGCGUGGGGAGCAAACAGGAUUAGAUACCCUUGUAGUC
rnacentral:rRNA from 1 species